rnacentral:rRNA from 1 species
CCUACGGGAGGCAGCAGUAGGGGAUAUUCCACAAUGGGGGAAACCCUGAUGCAGCGACGCCGCGUGUGUGAAGACGGUCCUCUGAAUUGUAAACCACGGUCCCCAGGGACGAAGAUCGCGGUACCUGGUGAUGACGCUCCGGCUAACUACGUCCCGACAGCCGCGGUAAUACGUAGGGGGCGAGCGUUGUCCGGACUUACUGGGUGUAAAGGGAGCGUAGGCGGGCUGACAAGUCAGAUGGGAAAUCCGGGGGCUCAACCCCCGAACUGCAUUUGAAACUGUUGGUCUUGAGUAUAGGAGAGGCAGGCGGAACUCCUAGUGUAGCGGUGAAAUGCGUAGAUAUUAGGAGGAACACCAGUGGCGAAGGCGGCCUGCUGGACUACAACUGACGGUGAGGCGCGAAAGCGUGGGGAGCAAACAGGAUUAGAUACCCUUGUAGUC